rnacentral:rRNA from 1 species
GCUAAACGCGAAGAACCUUACCAAGGCUUGACAUAUACCGUUUAUCCCUAGAGAUAGGGAGUCCUUCGGGGCGGUAUACAGGUGGUGCAUGGUUGUCGUCAGCUCGUGUCGUGAGAUGUUGGGUUAAGUCCCGCAACGAGCGCAACCCCUAUUGUAUGUUGCCAUCAGGUAAUGCUGGGCACUCAUACGAGACUGCCGGUGAUAAGCCGGAGGAAGGCGGGGACGACGUCAAGUCAUCAUGGCCCUUACGCGUAGGGCUAGAAACGUGCUACAAUGGCAAUGACAGUGGGCAGCAACACGGCAACGUGAAGCUAAUCUCCAAAAGUUGUCUCAGUUCAGAUUGUCCUCUGCAACUCGAGGGCAUGAAGCUGGAAUCGCUAGUAAUCGCAAA